AACGCACCUUGCGCCCCUUGGUAUUCCGAGGGGCACACCCGUUUGAGUGUCGUGAAAAUCUCAACCUUCUCGGUUUCUUCUGAACACCGAAGGAGGCUUGGACUUUGGAGGCCUUUGCUGGCGUCUCUCGCCAGCUCCUCUCAAAUGAAUUAGCGGGGUCCUCUUUGCCGAUCCUCGACAUGUGAUAAGAUGUUUCCAUGUCUUGGCUUUAUGGCUCUGUUGCCUUUGGGACCCGCUUCUAACCGUCUCAGCGAGACAACGUUCGAGCGUGUCUCCCCUCUCGGGGAAACGCUCUUGAACCCACGAAACCUUGACCUCAAAUCGGGUGAGGCUACCCGCUGAACUUAA
rnacentral:misc_RNA from 1 species